UACUCCAAACAGUGAAUCUGAACCUACAUAGCUAACAUACACAGCAAAGAUCCAUAUGGCUAGGGAUUAAGGAAACAUGCAGUCAAACUAUAUAGCUUCACUACGAAUAGCCAACACACCAUAGGUCAAAGGAUCAAUCACACCAUUGCAGCAUCGAGAAAACUACUGAUGAGGGAGUAGACAUCUAAGUGAUUUCUUGUGUUGGUCAUGAUCAGUGCAAGUUAUUCUCUAACAACCACCUAUACUCUCACCCC
rnacentral:lncRNA from 1 species